rfam:Thermodesulfobacterium commune DSM 2178, complete genome.
GGAGGAGUGGCCGAGAGGUCGAAGGCGCUCGCCUGCUAAGCGAGUGUACGGGCUAAAACCCGUACCGCGGGUUCGAAUCCCGCCUCCUCCG